rnacentral:rRNA from 1 species
UAAGGAAUAUUGGUCAAUGGGCGGAAGCCUGAACCAGCCAUGCCGCGUGCAGGAAGACUGCCCUACGGGUUGUAAACUGCUUUUGUACCGGAAUAAACCCUGAUUCGUGAAUCAGGCUGAAUGUACGGUAAGAAUAAGGAUCGGCUAACUCCGUGCCAGCAGCCGCGGUAAUACGGAGGAUCCAAGCGUUAUCCGGAUUUAUUGGGUUUAAAGGGUGCGUAGGUGGCUUUUUAAGUCAGGGGUGAAAGACGGUAGCUUAACUAUCGCAGUGCCUUUGAUACUGAAGAGCUUGAAUGAACUAGAGGUAGGCGGAAUGUGACAAGUAGCGGUGAAAUGCAUAGAUAUGUCACAGAACACCAAUUGCGAAGGCAGCUUACUAUGGUUUGAUUGACACUGAGGCACGAAAGCGUGGGGAUCAAACAG